UAGGGAAUCUUCCGCAAUGGACGAAAGUCUGACGGAGCAACGCCGCGUGAGUGAAGAAGGAUUUCGGUUCGUAAAACUCUGUUGUUAGGGAAGAAAAAAUGUAUAGUAACUAUAUACAAAAGAGACGGUACCUAACCAGAAAGCCACGGCUAACUACGUGCCAGCAGCUGCGGUAAUACGUAGGUGGCAAGCGUUGUCCGGAAUUAUUGGGCGUAAAGCGCGCGCAGGUGGUUUAGAAAGUCUGAUGUGAAAGCCCACGGCUCAACCGUGGAGGGUCAUUGGAAACUAAUAAACUUGAGUGCAGGAGAGAAAAGUGGAAUUCCUAGUGUAGCGGUGAAAUGCGUAGAGAUUAGGAGGAACACCGGUGGCGAAAGCGGCUUUUUGGCCUGCAACUGACACUGAGGCGCGAAAGCGUGGGGAGCAAACAGG
rnacentral:rRNA from 1 species